AUUGAACGCUGGCGGCAUGCCUUACACAUGCAAGUCGAACGGUAACGAGCCUUCGGGUGCUGACGAGUGGCGAACGGGUGAGUAAUACAUCGGAACGUGCCCGAUCGUGGGGGAUAACGAGGCGAAAGCUUUGCUAAUACCGCAUACGAUCUACGGAUGAAAGCAGGGGACCGCAAGGCCUUGCGCGGACGGAGCGGCCGAUGGCAGAUUAGGUAGUUGGUGGGAUAAAAGCUUACCAAGCCGACGAUCUGUAGCUGGUCUGAGAGGAUGAUCAGCCACACUGGGACUGAGACACGGCCCAGACUCCUACGGGAGGCAGCAGUGGGGAAUUUUGGACAAUGGGCGCAAGCCUGAUCCAGCCAUGCCGCGUGCAGGAUGAAGGCCUUCGGGUUGUAAACUGCUUUUGUACGGAACGAAAAGCCUUCUUUUAAUACAGGAGGGUCAUGACGGUACCGUAAGAAUAAGCACCGGCUAACUACGUG
rnacentral:rRNA from 1 species